GUUUAUGUGAACCAAACCACUCAAAACAUGAGUAAACGUUAUCUAGGUCAUAACACCUUGGGAUUCGCUAGUCCCCUGCCAUGUUGCUACUUAUUAAACAAUCCGCAAGGAUAGUGUAUUUAGCAUAACAAGCUCAGAUAACAAGGUUGAAGCAAACAUUAC
rfam:Nodularia spumigena CCY9414 genome.